rnacentral:rRNA from 1 species
GAUGAACGCUGGCGGCGUGCCUAAUACAUGCAAGUCGAGCGAACAGACGAGGAGCUUGCUCCUCUGACGUUAGCGGCGGACGGGUGAGUAACACGUGGAUAACCUACCUAUAAGACUGGGAUAACUUCGGGAAACCGGAGCCAAUACCGGAUAAUAUAUUGAACCGCAUGGUUCAAUAGUGAAAGACGGUUUUGCUGUCACUUAUAGAUGGAUCCGCGCCGCAUUAGCUAGUUGGUAUGGUAACGGCUUACCAAGGCAACGAUGCGUAGCCGACCUGAGAGGGUGAUCGGCCACACUGGAACUGAGACACGGUCCAGACUCCUACGGGAGGCAGCAGUAGGGAAUCUUCCGCAAUGGGCGAAAGCCUGACGGAGCAACGCCGCGUGAGUGAUGAAGGUCUUCGGAUCGUAAAACUCUGUUAUUAGGGAAGAACAAAUGUGUAAGUAACUAUGCACGUCUUGACGGUACCUAAUCAGAAAGCCACGGCUAACUACGUG